CCUACGGGUGACAGCAGUGAGGAAUAUUGGUCAAUGGGCGAGAGCCUGAACCAGCCAAGUCGCGUGAGGGAGUACUGCCCUAUGGGUUGUAAACCUCUUUUGUCGGGGAGCAAAAGCCGGACGUGUCCGGCUGUGAGAGUACCCGAAGAAAAAGCAUCGGCUAACUCCGUGCCAGCAGCCGCGGUAAUACGGAGGAUGCGAGCGUUAUCCGGAUUUAUUGGGGUUAAAGGGUGCGCAGGCGGAUUUUUAAGUCAGCGGUCAAAUCGUGGGGCUCAACCCCAUCCAGCCGUUGAAACUGGGGAUCUAGAGUGUGCGAGAGGUAUGCGGAAUGCGUGGUGUAGCGGUGAAAUGCAUAGAUAUCACGCAGAACCCCGAUUGCGAAGGCAGCAUACCGGUGCACAACUGACGCUCAGGCACGAAAGCGUGGGUAUCGAACAGGAUUAGAUACCCUUGUAGUC
rnacentral:rRNA from 1 species